rnacentral:rRNA from 1 species
AUACGUAGGGGGCGAGCGUUAUCCGGAUUUACUGGGUGUAAAGGGAGCGCAGACGGAGAAGCAAGUCUGAUGUGAAAGCCCGCGGCUCAACCGCGGGACUGCAUUGGAAACUGUUUCUCUAGAGUACUGGAAGGGCAAGCGGAAUUCCUGGUGUAGCGGUGAAAUGCGUAGAUAUCAGGAGGAACACCGGUGGCGAAGGCGGCUUGCUGGACCGUAACUGACGUUGAGGCUCGAAGGCGUGGGGAGCAAACAGGAUUAGAUACCCUGGUAGUCCACGCGGUAAACGAUGAUCACUAGGUGUCCGUGGGUAUGACCCAUGGGUGCCGCAGCCAACGCAAUAAGUGAUCCACCUGGGGAGUUCGUUCGCAAGAAUGAAACUCAAAUGAAUUGACGGGG